ensembl:lncRNA
UUUUCAUGUGCCUCUUGGUCAUCUGUAUAUCUUCUUUGGAAAAAUGUCUGUUCAUAUCCUCUGCCCAUCUUUUGAUCAGGUUAUUUUUUUGUUGUUGAGUUGUGUGAGUUCUUUUUAUAUUUUGGACAUUAACACCUUGUUGGGUAUAUGAUUUGCAAAUAUUUUCCCCCAGUUGGUGAGUUGUCUUUUUGUUUUGUUCCUGGUUUCCUUUGCCUUCCAGAAGCUCGUUAGUCUGAUGAAGUCCCAUUUGUUUAUUUUUUCCCUUGUUUCCCUUGCCUGAAUAGACAUGGUAUUUGAAAAGAUUCUUCUAAGACCAAUGUCAAAGAGUGUACUGCCUAUAUUUUCUUCUAGGAGUUUUAUGGUUUCACAUCUUACCUUCAAGUUUUUGAUCAUUUUGAGUUUAUUUUUGUGUAUGACAUGAGAUAAUGGUCUACUUUCAUUCUUUUGCAUAUGACUGUCCAGUUUUCCCGACACCAUUUGUUGAAGAGACUUUCCUUUCUCCAUUACGUAUUCUUUGCUCCUUUGUCAAAGAUUAGCUGUCUGUAGAUAUGUAGUUUUAUUUCUGGGUUUUCAAUUCUGUUCCAUUGAUCUGUGUGUCUGUUUUUGUACCAGUACCAUGCUGUUUUGAUUACUAUAACUUUGUAGGAUAUUUUGAAAUCAGGGUUGGUGAUGCCUCUAGCUUUAUUCUUUCUCUCAGGAUUUCUUUACUAUUCAGGGUCUUUGGUUGCCCCAUAUGAAUUUUAGGAUUCUUUGUUCUAUUUCCAUGAAGAAUGUCAUUAGGAUUCUGAUUGGGAUUGCAUUGAAUCUGUAAAUUCUUUAGGUAGUAUGGACACUUUAGCUACAUUUAUUCUUCCAAUCCAUGUGAAUGGAAUAUCUUUCCAUUUUGUUAUUUUUUCAGUAAUGUCUUACGGCUUUCAUUGUGUAGGUCCUUCACCUCCUUGGUUAAAUUUAUUCCCAGAUAUUUUAUUCUUUUUGUUGUGAUUGUACAUGGGAUUGUACUGUUGAGUUCUCUUUCUGUUAAUUUGUUAUUAGAGUAUAGAAAUGCAACUGGUUUUUGUAAGUUGAUUUUGUACCCUGCAACUUUGCUGUAGUUGUUGAUUAUUUCUAAUAGUUUUCUGGUGGAUUCUUCAGGGUUUUCCAUAUAUAAAAUCAUGUCAUCUGCAAAUAGCAAGAGUUUCACUUCUUCAUUGCAAAUUUAGAUACCCUUUAUUUCUUUUUCUUGCCUAAUUGCUCUGUCCAAAACCUCCAGUAAUAUGUGGAAGAAGAGUGGUGAGAAUGGGCACACUUGUCUUGUUCCUCUUAUCAAAGAGAUGAGUUUCAGUUUUUCCCCAUUGAGUAUGAUGUUGGCUGUUGGUUUGUCAUAUAUAGCCUUUGUUAUGUUGAGGUACUUUCCUUCUAUGCCCAUUUUAUUGAGAGUUUUUAUCAUAAAUGGAUGUUGGAUCUGGUCAAAUGCUUCCUCUGCUUCUAUUGAGAUCAAUGUGUGGUUUUUAUUCCUCAUUUUGUUAACACAGUGUGUCACAUUGAUUGAUUUGCAGAUGUUGAACCAUCCCUGAGUCCUUGGUAUAAAUCCCACUUGAACAUGAUGUAUGAUCCUUUUAAUGUAUAGCUGUAUCCAGUUUGCCAAUAUUUUGUUGAGGAUUUUGCAUCUAUGUUCAUCAGAGAUAUUGGCCUGUAAUUAUCCAUCCCUUCACUCUGAACCUGUUUCUCUUUAGAGGGGAGAGUCGAAGGGAAGAGCUCACUCCUUCUUGAUGCUGACUAUCAGACAUUUUGAGAGCAAGUUUUCAAAUGGAAGUAGAGA